GAUCUUAUAGCCAAAUGGAUGAUGACUAUGGAUAGACGAGGCCAAAUAUAUUUCAUUCCUUGGAUUGUUGAUCGACAUUGGAUGUUGGUGCUCGUGAUGAUGCGGGGGAUGACCAUAAUUUUGGACCCUUUAAAAAAUCAUAAAUCUCCACCAAUAAUUACGGAGGUUAUGGGAAAAGCAUACGCACAAUGUUUGGAAAAUGAAUACAUCGGCACAUUUACAAAAUUG